rnacentral:rRNA from 1 species
UACGUAGGGUGCAAGCGUUAAUCGGAAUUACUGGGCGUAAAGCGUGCGCAGGCGGUUUUGUAAGUCUGUCGUGAAAGCCCCGGGCUCAACCUGGGAAUUGCGAUGGAGACUGCAAGGCUUGAAUCUGGCAGAGGGGGGUAGAAUUCACGUGUAGCAGUGAAAUGCGUAGAGAUGUGGAGGAACACCGAUGGCGAAGGCAGCCCCCUGGGUCAAGAUUGACGCUCAUGCACGAAAGCGUGGGGAGCAAACAGG